CGCGGUCCUCGGUAGUGGUUUACGGGCAAGUUGCUAAGGCAACGCUCCCCGUGGGCCUCGAUCGAAGACCGGG
rfam:Renibacterium salmoninarum ATCC 33209, complete genome.